AUGAACGCUAGCGGCAGGCUUAAUACAUGCAAGUCGAGGGGCAACAGGGGUAGCAAUACCUGCUGGCGACCGGCAAACGGGUGCGGACACGUACAGAACCUUCCUUUAAGCGGGGGAUAGCCCAUAGAAAUGUGGAUUAGUACCCCAUAGCAAUGUUUAAUGGCAUCAUUAGAUAUUUAAAGAUUUAUCACUUAAAGAUGGCUGUGCGGCUGAUUAGGUAGUUGGUGNGGGUAACGGCCCACCAAGCCUUCGAUCAGUAACUGGUGUGAGAGCACGACCAGUCACACGGGCACUGAGACACGGGCCCGACUCCUACGGGAGGCAGCAGUAAGGAUAUUGGUCAAUGGACGCAAGUCUGAACCAGCCAUGCCGCGUGAAGGAUGAA
rnacentral:rRNA from 1 species